rnacentral:misc_RNA from 1 species
AGUAAAAUAAGGUUAGAUUAUGAUCAGUAGAAGCGUUAAAGUCUUUUUGGGUAUAGUUUAUUUUCUAUGGAACUAAAAAUCCUUUGCAACAGAUUUGUUUCUAUUCGCAAAAUUCCAAUAUGGGCAGGAAUUAUUUACGGAUUAGUGGAAUUGGUUAGCAAAAUAAUGGUCGAGUGUGUCACUUAAUAUAUAGUUAUGAAUAUCCAAACAUUGAUUUGGGCAUAAUGUGAUUGUUCUUCCUUUCCUGGAACUACGUUUGAAGAUCAAAACAUUGUAAUGUGGUUGUUUUAUGUCUUGUUUUCUGCUCCAUAGCUGAAGGAAAAAAUUUUUUAGAAGGGUGUUGUAGCAACUCAAUAGAGAUAGGAAAGCACAUAUUUUUAAUGUGCUUAUGACAGCUGCUUUGCACCUUCAGUCAUUGGAGUGGCAUUGCUAAACACGCUGUAAAAACUUUCCUUCUGUUUGCAAGAUUUUAUGCUUGCAUGGGGCUAGUGAUGCAAGUGAUGGGAAUGGAAAUAGAAAUGAGGUUUAUGUUUUUAUGACUGAUGUCUAUGGAACUAAAGAUAGUCACAAGGUUGGUGACAUUUGAUGAAGAUGAUAAGGGCAAUUAUAUGAAAAGAUAAAAAUUUGGUUGCUCAUUGUUUCAGUAGAAUUCUUUUCCUUUAUAUGGCCUUUUGAAGUACUUUCAAUCAUGAACAACUAGUGUGAUUCUAUUUGAUGAUGUUUUCUUUCAAUGUUCUAAUGGUUUCUAUGUCCUAAUUGCAAUGUUGACCAUGCUUUUUAUCAUACAGGUUUAGGAG